GUGCAGAGAGUCCAUGUGUUGGAAAGGCUGCUGGGGAUGGCUGAAGAGACUCAGCGGAGGCUUCAACAUGUUGUUUGGGCCUUUGGACACCAAAGGCAAUACAGCAAAGAAACUGAUUACACAAUGUUUAUUCAGACAGACAAGACUGCAGUUGUACAUGUAUUACAUAUUAUUAUAUUUUUUUGCUUACAGCCUUGAUGGUCAAUUUAGGAAGGUUUAUUGGUAGAAAUCGAAUAUACUAACCAUAAAUAACCGACAAACCAGCCAGAACAUGCAUUACGCAAGUGAAGCUGAAGACACAAACAAAGAAGAACGGUAUCCUUUCUGGUAUGUCAAGGCCACCAUAGUUCCCUGUUCACGUUUAGAAAAGGAAUGAGUGAGAGAAGAGUCCUCUGUUUGUUACAGUGACAUUUAAAAAUUAUACAGUCUCACCAGUAGAUGUCACUGAUACUUACAGACUGGGCAUCUUUCAAGGCCAUUAUAGCCUUGAAAGACCCACCACUUAGUACCAGACUGAAAUAUCUCAACAACUAUUGGUCGGACAGUUAUGGAUUUUUGUACAGAAAUGUAUUGUCCACAGAAAAUGAAUCAAAAAGACUUUAGUGCCUCCCUGGUUUUUCCUCUUGCACCAAUGUCACCAAAGGCUCAACAGAUAUUGUUUACUUGUACAUUUCUAUGAAAAUCAGGCUGGUCAUAUGGACCAUUUUACAUUAUAGAUUAUUAGAGUUUUGUGCAAGGAGCAGCUCUACAGAUUAACUUAAUUUGUGCUUUUUGGUGCUUGUCUGAAAUUGUGAUGUACUGUGACCGUGUUACGUAAAUCUCUGGACAUAAGUAUGAACUGUUCUGACCGACACUAAGGUUCUAGGAAAAUUCCCGUUAAAUGGCAUCAGAAACUUAAUCUUAAAAUAAUUUAGACAGUUAAUUGUCCACAAAAUAAGACAGGGAAUAAAUAAAUAAAGACCAAUUCGGUUCACCAGAAGAGCAGUUCCCCUCAUGAACUUGCAAUUAAAGCUCCAGUAAUAUGUUCCCUGUGAGUCAGAGUUAUCAUAGAUAUCUUCCUGACAACGUGGAAAAUAACAGGAGAUCACAACAUUAGCAACAACCCCCCUCACCUCAUGCAGUACUACUGUAUUAAUUGUUGAUUAUUAUGCAGCAGAUGCUGCAGAUUAAAGUGAAUAUUGUGAACUCCAGAACUACAAGAAUAAGAGAAGUACAGACAAUAACAUCUCUGAGCCCUGAGGCUGCAGAGACACGAAGAGAUGGACGAAUGGAAACACAUUCUCAAAGACAGGAGCUUCAGUGGCAUCAGAGAGAUUAAGCUGAGUCUGUGUAACAGUACACACACACACUCACAAAUGCAGUGACAACAAACCCCUGAAGCCUCUCUGAUCCAAAGAGAUCACACAGCCUACAGUGUGACUAUGUUUGUGUAUGCAUGGCUGCAUACAUAUAUAUAGAUAUAUAUCUAUAUAUAUGAGCAGCACAGUGGCUUAUUUGUCUGUGUUGGUCUGUGUGACUCUAACGCUACAUUAUAUUUGUAUGUUUAUGUGUACAUGUGUCAAUAAUAGGCCAACAGCUGUGUCAAAACCCACCGCAUUGGAAGCUUUCAUCUGGAAUCCAAUCAGACGCCAAAUGGCUGUGAUUCAUGGACCCAAAAUAACACUCUGGGGUGUUUGUGUUUCCGACUGCUGCAAACUGAUGGUGUGUCCGUCCCGUCAAACGGGCUGCCUGCCUGUCACCUCGCCUCACUGACCUCAGGAAAAGGAUCGGCCCCCUCUUGACCAGACUAGACGCUUAUUGGCCCCCAGGUCGUUUGAGACCCCUGCUUUAAAGUGAGUCAUCUGACCAGGAUCAGAGCCUGAAUUACAGCGAUCCAUUUCGACAUUGAGACUGCAGAGCUGCACUGCUGGCCGACAGCCGACAGUGUGAACAUUGUUGGCACUUCAGAGGCUACAUUCGUCAUGUAACACCAUCUGGAAGGCAUCUACUCGGUGCCAGAUUCACGGUGCACCAUAAGCACAAAUGUACAACCAGACUCAUAAAGAUGGACCGACUCCAGAGAGCUUUGACCUUAGCAUCAUGAGGUCAGUGUGGGUUUACAUGAGACGACUGAAGACAGUGUUCUCCAAGAUGGUUGUUCAUUUUUUAAAAUUAUUUUUGAAAACACUUUCACUUUUAAUUGCCUGAAACUUAUAUGUGUGUUACUGUGUUUAAUACAUAUACACGUAUAUUAAAGGAUAAGCUUGCAAUUUUUGAAGAGUGAGAUGUAACUGAUGUUUAUACUGGUCAUUAAAACACAUAUACUGUAUAUGAUAGAGACCAAAUGCGUAGUCCUUUUUUUCGGCUGUGUUUAUCUGGAGUUGUAUAAAGGCACUAUACGGCGCAACGAUUAUUCGAUUGUUAAUAGA